CACUAGUAUCGGCUAAAGCUGCCAGCGUGAUCUAAACCUUUCUCGUUUGUUGAGGGAAGAUCAGAUCAUGUGGUAGCUUCAUCUGAUGGCUGU
rnacentral:miRNA from 1 species